GCGAGGAGGAAGUGAACGGGGGAGCGGCACACGACGGGGAGCGAGAGAACACGGAGGACUGUGAGAAAGUUUGCUGGAGGAAAACACACGCGGGGAGAAAAGAGAAAAGAGGCUGCGGCUCAUGUUUCCCGGCUCAAUGCCCUGUGACCCAAGAGGUUCAAAAUCUGACCUGUUUCAACCUACAGACGCCAUUGAGUUGAUGGUUUAGACAGUCGUCAAAAAUGGAUUAUAUCACCAGAAAGGCAGGAAUCUAAGGUUUGGAAGGGCGUGUAAGAAGUCCGGAUGAUGAGACCACAGUUCCUAACUCAGGGCACAGACACCAACCACCCUCACUGUGGAACAAGAGGGAGUCUGUCCAAACAAACCAAUCACUGCUCGGAUCAAUGAGCUCCCUGCAUAAUGUAAGAAAGCAGCUUCAAUCUGCUCCCACUGCGCUGCCCAGACAAUCCCAGCCUAAUCCACAGUCCAGCCCUGGAUUAGAUCGUCUGCUCCGUCCACCAUCUCUGCAUAUUUGGAAAUUAGACUAGAUUAAAUGAAACCCACGAGGUCAACAACAAAGCCCAAACCUGAGCAGCCGCGGGGCGUUUAGGUGUUUUCCUGACAACGGCGAUUACAUCCGUCGCUCCCCCAGAUUAACUGAGCGUGCAGAUUUUAGACAACAAACAAAGCAUUUAGACAGAUUUCCUCUUAUGUAGCAGAAUUGAGAACAACAUGGCACCGCUCAAAUGCAGAUUUGUUUUGAUUGUUGCAUGGGAGCGCGUUGCCACGGCAACCAUGGCGUUUCUUGUUUCUCGACUCAAAGCUCUCGCAGAUGGUUUUGGUUCAGCGUGUGUCCGCAUGCGCUGCUGUAAAUCUAUACCUCUGUGUGUGUGUGUGUGUGUGUGUGUGUGUGCGUGCGUGUGUGUGUGUGUGUCUGCGCAUGUGCGUGUGCGUGCACGUGUGUGUGUGUGUUUGGAGCUCCAGAUUGCGAGCCCAUCUUAUGUCGAUGAAAACCAUAUUAUCAGCAGAUGGUUCAGCAACUGAUCUCUGCGCUGAUCUCUGAUGUGGUCUCUUCGCAUGCAUCUCUCAUUUUCUUCCAGCUGUGCAGAAAAUAAAAGUGAAUAGAAUUGUAAAAGUACAUGAUGAGUGGCUUGGUAUAAGGAAGUAUGGCCUAAUCAACAUCUUAAUAAAUAGGCUCUCUGAAGUCUCCCCUUUAGUCUAAAGCUUCCUGUCUGCAGUGUAUU